GGCGUAUUAGUUUAAGCUAAAAUACUGGUUUUGUAAAUCAGGGAUAAUUUUUAAUUAUAGGCCA
rnacentral:tRNA from 1 species